rnacentral:rRNA from 1 species
UACGUAGGGUGCAAGCGUUGUCCGGAAUUAUUGGGCGUAAAGAGCUCGUAGGCGGUCUGUCGCGUCUGCUGUGAAAACCCGGGGCUCAACCCCGGGCUUGCAGUGGAUACGGGCAGACUAGAGUUCGGUAGGGGAGACUGGAAUUCCUGGUGUAGCGGUGAAAUGCGCAGAUAUCAGGAGGAACACCGGUGGCGAAGGCGGGUCUCUGGGCCGAUACUGACGCUGAGGAGCGAAAGCGUGGGGAGCAAACAGG